AUACCUUCCCUUCUUCCUCUCCUCACCCCUUCUCAAUUUUCACAUAUCCCUCUCUCUCUCUCUCUCUCCCUCUAUCUCUCUCUCUAGGAUCAUGUUCUUCCAUGGAGGCUCUCUUUUACGAGUCUCGUGUUGUUUCUUUUAGAAUCUCGGUUCUCAAUUACUGGGAAAACCCAGAAGUUACUGCAGAGAAGAACAAAGAAGAAGAAGAAGAACGCAAAUCUAACCGUGGGAUCUAUUGGCCAAAUCGACGGUAAAAUUUUGUAACUUUUUUUUUUUUUUUUUUUUUUUUUU